UUUUUCAUUUUCAUGUUACCAGACGCUAAUGAAAUUCAGAUCUAAAUAGCGAAGCUCAAAACCCCUCCUCCCCGUUCGCUUCCUCUGUCACCUCCCGAUUUCUCCUUCUCUGUAUCUAUACGCGCAGGCUUGCCAUUCGUCAUUGCUGAUGCAAUAGUGUGUUUUCUCGAUCUCUUCAUGUGCUGAUCGGAUCCGAGUGUUUCUAUUUGGGAUUUCCGGUGAUUGAAGAAGAUGUUGACGAAGUUUGAGACGAA